GGUAUACUCCCUCCGUUCCAUAAUUCUUGUCGAUAUAUUACAUGUAUCUAGACGCUUUUUAAGAAUAGAUACAUCCACUUUUUGGCAAAUUUGAGACAAGAAUUAUGGAACGGAGGGAGUACUUU
rfam:Brachypodium distachyon strain Bd21 chromosome 5, whole genome shotgun sequence.